rnacentral:rRNA from 1 species
AUUGAACGCUGGCGGCAGGCCUAACACAUGCAAGUCGAGCGCGCGGCGGACGGGUGAGUAAUGUCUGGGAAACUGUCUGUUGUAGGGGGAUAACUACUCGAAACGGUAGCUAAAACCGCAUAUCAUCACAUGUGUGCAGAUGGGAUUAGCUGGUAGGGGGGGUAAUGGCUCACCUAGGCGACGCUCCCUAGCUGGUCUGUGAGGAUGACCAGCCACACUGGAACUGGGACACGGUCCAGACUCCUACGGGAGGCAGCAGUGGGGAAUAUUGCACAAUGGGCGCAAGCCUGAUGCAGCCAUGCCGCGUGUGUGAAGAAGGCCUUCGGGUUGUAAAGCACUUUCAGCGGGGAGGCGUUACCCGCAGAAGAAGCACCGGCUAACUCCGUGCCAGCAGCCGCGGUAAUAC